UGGGUAGUGGCCAAGCGGUAAGGCACAGGAUUCUGACUCCUGGAUGCGAAGGUUCGAAUCCUUCCUACCCAGCCA
rnacentral:tRNA from 1 species